rnacentral:rRNA from 1 species
AUUGAACGCUGGCGGCAGGCCUAACACAUGCAAGUCGAGCGAGCGUGGGACUUGUGAAUAAUGUAUGGGCACUGCGCGAUAUAGCGGGAUAACUACGGUAACCGGUAGCUAAUACCGCAUACUAUCGGAUAACCCAGAUGGGAUUAGCUAGUAGGUGUGGUAAUGGCUCACCUAGGCGACGACCCCUAGCUGCCCUGAGAGGAUGAUCAGCAACACUGGGACUGAGACACGGCCCAGACUCCUACGGAGGCAGCAGUGGGGAAUAUUGCACAAUGGGCGCAAGCCUGAUGCAGCCAUGCCGCGUGUAUGAAGAAGGCCCUAGGGUUGUAAAGUACUUUCAGUCGGGAGGCGUUACCGACAGAAGAAGCACCGGCUAACUCCGUGCCAGCAGCCGCGGUAAUUC